AGCAUAUCACUAAGCGGAGGAAAAGAAACUAACUAGGAUUCCCCCAGUAACUGCGAGUGAAGAGGGAAGAGCUCAUCAUUGGAAUCUGGCAGUGUUGCACUGUCCGAGUUGUAGAUGAGGAGUAGUCCGUCUGGACUGCAUGGCGUCCAAGUACAAUAGGCCGUCAGUGGGACAUCAUAGAGGGUGACAAUCCCGUCCUUGACGCUAAUGUGCAAGUCUAUUACGAUGGCUAUCUCAGAGAGUCGAGCAGUUUGGGAUUUGCUGCUUAAACAUGGGAGGUAGAUUCCUUCUAAAGCUAAAUACAGGCGAGAGACCGAUAGAGAACAAGUACCGCAAGGGAAAGAUGAAAUAGCACUCUGUGAAGGGAGUCAAAAGGCGUGAAAUUGUUGCGAGAGAAGCGAUUCAAGUCAGCGUAGCUAGGCCCAUCAAGCGUCUUCGCUUUGGACUAGCUUUGCCAGCGGUCUUGUCCCUUAAAGAGACUUGACUYGUAAUAUGUCCAGCCUGGCGUGCACAGGCAGCCCCUUCUGGGGGCCAGUGGCAUGGCUGGUGGAAUGGCUUGCAAUCGACCCGUCUUGAAACACGGACCAAGGAGUCUAACAUGUAUGCGAGUAUAAGGGUGGCAAACCCGUAUGCGCAAUGAAAGUGAUUUUCGGUGAUUGAGAAUGGCCUGAUGACCAGACAAGCAAUACAUGUCCCUCGUACGGCCAUUGCCCAAGUUCCGUGGUAGAUCCCACGAACAUGGAGUUGGAGCAUACAUGCUAGGACCCGAAAGAUGGUGAACUAUGCCUGGACAAAGCGAAGCCAAAGGAAACUCUGGUGGAGGCUUGUAGCGAUUCUGACGUGCAAAUCGAUCGUCUGAUCUGGGUAUAGGGGCGAAAG
rnacentral:rRNA from 1 species